CCAGGUGUCCGGGCUCACCCAGCAGAUCCAACAACUGACACAGCCCAUUGCGCCCAACCCACCGCCGAUUUCCCCUGCAUCUGUCCGUCAACAUGAGCCACGUCUGCCGACGCCGGAGAGUUAUUCUGAUCGUUGUUUUAUGGAUGUUGCCUGUUGUGUUCCUGUUUCUUCGGCUCCUCGUGUCUCCUGUUUUGUGUCCGGCUGGAAGUUUGCCGUUGCAGUUUAUGUCUUCACUCUUCACCAACACUGGGUUCAUCACUUCACGUCUGACCAUCGGAUCGAGUUGUCCAUGCAAGCCUGCGCUGCCUAGUCAUCAUCAUCAUCGGAGAUUACCAUCACACUCAGAAGGAUCUGUGUACUGCAUCUGCGAUCUUCCAGCACUACUGAGAACUGUGUCUGCUUCCCUAUUCACUCUGAGACUGGUGCUAUUCAUUCUAAUAAAGAUCUGUUUUACUUGC